GUCGUGUCGUCUGUGUGAUUUACAUCCCGCAGCUGAUGGAGACACCACCAUACUCCAUGGAAGGUCCUUCCUGUCCGAUCUGUCCAAGGUCAGUGGAAGGGAUGAAUUCAUCAUAGGCACUUGUAGUAGAACAUCUCCUUGAGCCUCAAAGAGAAGGCUAUUUUUCCUGUGGGUCAUCUUUGUGCUGUGCAUGGGAGGUCCUGCCCCAUGGGGCAAGAAAAGGAACAAGCAGCAAAUGUGUGGAAGUACUCAGGAAGAAGGCAGAAGCCCUAAUGAUGCGAUCUGAGGACCACGUUGGACACGUGAAGCCAGAUGCAGUGAAAAGUUG
rnacentral:lncRNA from 1 species